AACUUCACAACCCGAUAAACACUCUCUCUCCUGAUAAAUCAUAAACCCUUUCUUCUUCUUUGCCGUUCUCUCUGCCUCUCUCAGUUCUCAAAACCCCUAAACCAUAGCGCAUGGGCGCUCUCUCACUCCUUCAGUGGCAGAAAGUGCCAGCCUCCCACCACCGUCAUAUACCGCCAAAGCUGCUAUCAGUGCAGAUGGUGGUUUGUUCUCCUUGAUUGAGUCGCAAAGCCGAGAGUGUAAUGAAUGAAGGAUCUGUCAAUCGCAAUCCACAAAACCUGCAUAAGUUUGCAUACUCUCAAUUUGGCUUUCGAUAUUGGUCAUUGUCCCUAGCAGGCUAUACAGCAAGACUUCCUUUGCAUCUCUCACACCCACAUGAACCACAUUGAAGAGAGAUGCAAAUAAAGAUGCUUAGUGAAGUGCAAAACAGGAAUUCUAGGAAGACCUCCAUGGACAUUGAGCAUAUGUGGAAUAGGUGAGGCCCUAUCACUAUUGGUGGGGCAUCACACCAUCACUAUAAAUAUAUAUAAAGGGCAUUUUGUAAUUUUAGUUAUUGUUUAAAUACUUUGAACUAGGUUCUCAUGUUGUAGUUGCUUUAUGGUUAGAAUUAUUAGAUAUGUAUGAUUGAUCGUUAGAUAUUCCUUUUUUUUUUUUGGUAAACAAUUUCCACACCAUGGCGUUGUUGGUUAGUCAUAAAUUUAAUUAAGCUAUUUGUAUGUUAGUGAAAAGAACAUAUAUUUUCUUGUUCUAUGGUUUCAUUAGACGCUUUGUACUUUGGAGAUAUGUUUGCAUAUGAAGGAGGGCGUUACUCUACAAUUCUACCAAAUUACUCUCAGUUCUUGGUCUGCAAAAGUUUGUGUCUUCCUCACUCAUUUUAAGGGCUUUAAUCAUUCAAUAUAAUGCUGUGAAAUAAAUGUCUUUGAUCUUUAAAUUUAAGGUAGUGGUGAAUUUCCAAUUUGUGGCUUCCUCACUUUUAAAAAUACUGAACAAUUGCAUUUUUUUCGUUUUACCCUAUUAAAGUUUCACUGUUUACUAACUGUUUGGUAUAAGGUAUGUAUUAAAAAAAAAAAAAACCAAACUGCCAGAGAAAGAGAUAUAAACGGAGAUAUGUCAAUAGAGAAAGAGAUAUGAAUGGACAUAUCGAUGAUUAAAGGAGCAUUCAUGAGAUUCAGGGAGAGAAAUCUGAUAAGAUGCAGAGAGAGAGAUCUGAGGGAGGUCUCUUUGCUUUUGUCAGACCAUUCUCCCUCCAUCUUCCAGUUCCACACAGUUGUGGUUGUCUCAUGGGCAAGGGCUAUUCAACUAAGCCACAAAUGCUUUGCCUCAUGGUUGCAGAGUCCUCCACCUCGGUUACCGCUUCACCAAACUGCACAACCAACCUAACAUCAGACCGCUGGAACAGCUAUAGGUGUUGAAGGUAUUAUUGGGGUUGCUGCUUCUAAAGAUAGCAUCCUAAGGCUGUGGAAGGGGAAAGUUUCCAAAUUCUUAUUAAACUUGCAAUAUUAUGAGUACCCACGCACCAUUUUGAUAUAUAAUUCUUUCUCUCUCCCAAUUCAGUUAUGUCAAUCUCCCAAAUUAUAUUUGUACAAGGUCAGUAUUAUGCGGAAGCAACAAGUUGAUUCAUGUAAGUUUCAAAUAAUUUUAGUCACUGAUUGCCAUGUGAGUUUCAUAGUUUUGGGUUGCAAAAUUCGUAAUUUUGAAAAUUGAAUACAAUUGCAAUUCACCCUAUUUGUUUUGGUUAUUUGUUGUGUUAUAAGAACAUAAUACGUUCACUAUGGUGAUUUAAAAGCUUUCCCAUGCUUUCAAGAGGUGCCAAAUCAAAUAAAUAUACGACAUGUUGAUGAGUAACAGUUGCACAAUACCUGUCUUUGUAUCUUCCUAAGAAACAUUGUCCAUUUGAUUUACACCAUCUUUGUUUGUUUUUUUCUCUGCUUUGUUUUUCGAAGAGAUUUUCUUCCCUUUGUAAACUUGAAUUUGUUUUUUUUAAGGUUUCUUUGUUGGGUAUUGUUAAUGCUACUUUUGUUAGGUUUUUUCUUUUGUUUAUCUUAAUGAAACAUUUCUCUGUGAUUUUUGUUUCUCUAUAAACCCAAGUGGUUCUGUUUUUUUUUUUUUUUUUUGACAGACGAGUGGUUUUGUUUGAAAAAACUUGAAAGAUUUGUUCAGUUUGUAUAAAUUGUAAAAUUUGACAGUACAUUGUUCUUUGUACAAAGUCGAUUGCUUUGUAGGUUUUGGCAGAUAUUUUAUUUAUUCUUUGGAAGAGAAUGAUGGGUGGCAAAAGCAUAUAAAAAGAGGGGUUCACACUUCACACACUAAAGAAACUACAAUACCAGAUUAUAUGUCUUUAGUAAACUUUGGUACUUGGCCUUAUUAUCAUUUGAUGGUGGGCAUGGUAUUUUGUUUUUAUUUCAGUUGUGUUAUAUUGAUCUUGGACUUUCAAGUGGGGAGGAGAUGGAGCUACUCAAGGGAAUAGAUAGCAUCUUUCUCAAAUUAUAAAGGAAUUUGUCCCACUUUAUUGCUUCUUUUAGGUACUAUUUAUCUAUUUCAUCAUGUCAUUAAACUCAUUCCAUACCUUUUAGUUUCAUAAUGAAUAAUAUUCUAGAGUAUUUACUUGAAUGCCAAAAGAAAAUUAUAGUUGUAUGGCUUAUUGUAAUUUUUUUUAAGUAUGUGAUUUUAGUUGACUUCUAUGAUAAGAGAGCUGCACGAUUAGCAUACCUUGCAACUCUAUGACAUAAUUUAUUUACUAUUAUGUGUUAAUUUAUUUUAUUUUAUGAUGCGUAGAAAUCCACAAGUAUCACAAAUAGUACCAAACUCCUAACUAAAGGCUCACAUUCUCUAGACUUGCCAAUAAAUGUAUGAAUAAUAUGCAAUUUGGAAAAAUCUUGAUGAAAUUUUAGAGGGUUAAAAUCUUAGUAUAUAUAUAUUUUUUAGAAAAAAUUAUGAUGGAAUAUGGACUGAAUGAUUUAUUAUUUUUGUAUGUAGUUUGAAUAAGUUGUUAGAAAAACUAACAAUAUGUUUCUUAAGUGUAUAAUUCUUUUUAUUUUUGUAAGUAAAUCGUUUUUAACAUUUGGAAGAAUGUUUAGUACUUAGUACCACCACUAUCUCAUAUAAAUCCUAUUUGAUCCAACAUUUAUUUUAUUCUUCUUGCUUAUUUUAAAAUUUUUUGAUAAUUCAAGAGGGGGUAUUUGAACCUGACUAAAUAUAGUUAUAAUGCUAAAUAGAUUUUGUAAAUAUUCGUGCUUUUCUGUGUGGGUUAGCGACUAGUGUGUGUGUCUAUAUAUAUAUAUAUAUAUAUAUAAAGCGUGUGUGACUCAGAUUAGAUGGCUAGUAUGAGUCUCUCUUAAAAGAGAAAGAGCCCAACAAUGCGAAUGGCCUAGUUUAGUUAAAGCCCAUAUGCACUGUCUAAUAAAAUUACAGCCCAUGUUUUUUACAAAAACGGAAAUAACCCAUCAUCUCUCACUGGGCUCAGCCUGCCGAAUCAUUUUCCAUAAAAGAGACCCUAACGCUCCGUUUGUUUCGAUAUAAAAUAUUUUCAGAAAAAUAUUUUCCAAUUUUGCGAUAUUUGUUUUGCAGUAAAAUAUUUGGUCAAAAGUAAAAUAUUUUCAGCCAACCAAAUCAACCUAAGCAAAUUUACUUAAAAUAUUUUACACUUCAAAUUUUGGUAAAACAUUUUACAUUUGCUCACUCCCUCACAACCCGAUACUUAUCACUCCCGCAAUUACUUUCGCACUUAAACACUCCCUCUCGUAUUUCUCUCCAAAAAAACCCAGCCACCCUCUCAGAUUUCUCUCCAAAAAACCCAGCCACCUCUGGUCCCUGUCCAGCCAAUCUUCGGCUCCAAGGUCCAAGGCAUCACAGGCCAGCUCCAUCUUCUGCUGGCGCUGCCCAUCACCGGCAAAACUAGGUUCGAUUUCUACUCCUUGCUGGAAAAACACCUCAAAGUUUCAGCAACAGGGGACAUGUUUUGGUUUUGUGGAAUUUGAAUCUGCUAGUUUGAUGCAAAGUGCUAUUGAGCUAACAAUGACAGGGAGGUUUUCAGGACGGGCUGGUUAUUGAAAUGAUAGCUUUAGGGGCCGUGGAAACUUUAGUGGUGGGAAUUUUAGCGGAGGCCGGGGCUAUGGGAGAAAUGAAUUUGAGAGGUGAGGUGAUUUCCCAAAACGAACUCGUGGUAAUGCUGGACGGAAUGAAGAAACUGGCCAUAGGGUCUACCAAAAUGGUGGAUGGAAAAGCCACACGCCAAGCCAGUCAAGGCAGCAUGAGCUAGGCUAUGACUGCUCCUUUUGCUCCAGUUUUGUUGAGAAUAGUACCUUGUCUUUUGAUUACAUAGAGUUUAGUCAAACAGCGACAUUCUAGGUUUUUUUUUUUCUUCUGGCUCAAGAUUUUUUAAAUUUUUGGUAGUUUUAUUUUUAUUUUAGUUUCCCAGUUAAAUUGGAAAAUUUGUAACUACAUUAUUUUUGGAAUAAUUUUUUUGAAAGGUUAAUUAGUGAUAUGCUAAAUAUAAUUGUGUGCUUGUCUCCUUGUUUU